UACGGGAGGAGCGAGCAUUAUUCAAAAUGAUUAGGCGUAAAGGGUUUGUAGGUGGUUUUUUAAGUUGAAAAAAAAAGAGUAAAGCUCAAACUUUAUACAUUUUUUCAAAACUGAAAAUCUAGAGUACAUAUAGAGGAUAAUGGAAUUUUAUUGUUAGGGAUAAAUCUAUUGAUAAUAGAAGGAACAUUCAAAAGCGAAGGACA
rnacentral:rRNA from 1 species